AUUGAACGCUGGCGGCAGGCCUAACACAUGCAAGUCGAACGAGUGGCGGACGGGUGAGUAAUGUCUGGGAACCUGCCUGAUGGCUGGGGAUAACUACUGGAACCGGUAGCUAAUACCGCAUACCAGUAGAUGUGCCAUGAUGGGAUUAGGGAGUUGGUGGGGUAACGGCUCACCAAGGCGAAGAUCCCUAGCUGGUCUGAGAGGAUGACCGGCCACACUGGAACUGAGACACGGUCCAGACUCCUACGGGAGGCAGCAGUGGGGAAUAUUGCACAAUGGGCGCAAGCCUGAUGCAGCCAUGCCGCGUGUAUGAAGAAGGCCUUCGGGUUGUAAAGUACUUUCAGCGGGGAGGCGUUACCCGCAGAAGAAGCACCGGCUAACUCCGUGCCAGCAGCCGCGGUAAUUC
rnacentral:rRNA from 1 species